rnacentral:rRNA from 1 species
UGGGGAAUAUUGGACAAUGGGCGAAAGCCUGAUCCAGCCAUGCCGCGUGUGUGAAGAAGGUCUUCGGAUUGUAAAGCACUUUAAGUUGGGAGGAAGGGUUGUAGAUUAAUACUCUGCAAUUUUGACGUUACCGACAGAAUAAGCACCGGCUAACUCUGUGCCAGCAGCCGCGGUAAUACAGAGGGUGCAAGCGUUAAUCGGAAUUACUGGGCGUAAAGCGCGCGUAGGUGGUUUGUUAAGUUGGAUGUGAAAUCCCCGGGCUCAACCUGGGAACUGCAUUCAAAACUGACUGACUAGAGUAUGGUAGAGGGUGGUGGAAUUUCCUGUGUAGCGGUGAAAUGCGUAGAUAUAGGAAGGAACACCAGUGGCGAAGGCGACCACCUGGACUAAUACUA